rnacentral:rRNA from 1 species
UCCCGGCAAACUCCGUGCCAGCAGCCGCGGUAAUACGGAGGGGGCAAGCGUUGUUCGGAAUUAUUGGGCGUAAAGGGCAUGUAGGCGGUUCGGUAAGUUAAAGGUGAAAUGCCAGGGCUUAACCCUGGAGCUGCUUUUAAUACUGCCAGACUCGAGUCCGGGAGAGGAUAGCGGAAUUCCUAGUGUAGAGGUGAAAUUCGUAGAUAUUAGGAGGAACACCAGUGGCGAAGGCGGCUAUCUGGUCCGGUACUGACGCUGAGGUGCGAAAGCGUGGGGAGCAAACAGGAUUAGAUACCCUGAUGAGUGCUAAGAAU